GAUGAACGCUGGCGGCGUGCCUAAUACAUGCAAGUCGAGCGAACGGACGAGAAGCUUGCUUCUCUGAUGUUAGCGGCGGACGGGUGAGUAACACGUGGAUAACCUACCUAUAAGACUGGGAUAACUUCGGGAAACCGGAGCUAAUACCGGAUAAUCUUUUGCACCGCAUGGUUCAAAAGUGAAAUACGGUCUUGCUGUCACUUAUAGAUGGAUCCGCGCUGCAUUAGCUAGUUGGUAAGGUAACGGCUUACCAAGGCAACGAUGCAUAGCCGACCUGAGAGGGGGAUCGGCCAGACUGGGAGUGAGACACGGUCCAGACUCCGACGGGAGGCAGCAGUAGGGAAUCUUCCGCAAUGGGCGAAAGCCUGACGGAGCAACGCCGCGUGAGUGAUGAAGGUCUUCGGAUCGUAAAACUCUGUUAUUAGGGAAGAACAUAUGUGUAAGUAACUGUGCACAUCUUGACGGUACCUAAUCAGAAAGCCACGGCUAACUACGUG
rnacentral:rRNA from 1 species